rnacentral:rRNA from 1 species
GGUUAAGCGACUAAGCGUACACGGUGGAUGCCCUGGCAGUCAGAGGCGAUGAAGGACGUGCUAAUCUGCGAUAAGCGUCGGUAAGGUGAUAUGAACCGUUAUAACCGGCGAUUUCCGAAUGGGGAAACCCAGUGUGAUUCGUCACACUAUCAUUAACUGAAUCCAUAGGUUAAUGAGGCGAACCGGGGGAACUGAAACAUCUAAGUACCCCGAGGAAAAGAAAUCAACCGAGAUUCCCCCAGUAGCGGCGAGCGAACGGGGAGCAGCCCAGAGCCUGAAUCAGUGUGUGUGUUAGUGGAAGCGUCUGGAAAGGCGUGCGAUACAGGGUGACAGCCCCGUACACAAAAAUGCACAUACUGUGAGCUCGAUGAGUAGGGCGGGACACGUGGUAUCCUGUCUGAAUAUGGGGGGACCAUCCUCCAAGGCUAAAUACUCCUGACUGACCGAUAGUGAACCAGUACCGUGAGGGAAAGGCGAAAAGAACCCCGGCGAGGGGAGUGAAAAAGAACCUGAAACCGUGUACGUACAAGCAGUGGGAGCACGCUUAGGCGUGUGACUGCGUACCUUUUGUAUAAUGGGUCAGCGACUUAUAUUCUGUAGCAAGGUUAACCGAAUAGGGGAGCCGAAGGGAAACCGAGUCUUAACUGGGCGUUAAGUUGCAGGGUAUAGACCCGAAACCCGGUGAUCUAGCCAUGGGCAGGUUGAAGGUUGGGUAACACUAACUGGAGGACCGAACCGACUAAUGUUGAAAAAUUAGCGGAUGACUUGUGGCUGGGGGUGAAAGGCCAAUCAAACCGGGAGAUAGCUGGUUCUCCCCGAAAGCUAUUUAGGUAGCGCCUCGUGAAUUCAUCUCCGGGGGUAGAGCACUGUUUCGGCAAGGGGGUCAUCCCGACUUACCAACCCGAUGCAAACUGCGAAUACCGGAGAAUGUUAUUACGGGAGACACACGGCGGGUGCUAACGUCCGUCGUGAAGAGGGAAACAACCCAGACCGCCAGCUAAGGUCCCAAAGUCAUGGUUAAGUGGGAAACGAUGUGGGAAGGCCCAGACAGCCAGGAUGUUGGCUUAGAAGCAGCCAUCAUUUAAAGAAAGCGUAAUAGCUCACUGGUCGAGUCGGCCUGCGCGGAAGAUGUAACGGGGCUAAACCAUGCACCGAAGCUGCGGCAGCGACGCUUAUGCGUUGUUGGGUAGGGGAGCGUUCUGUAAGCCUGUGAAGGUGUGCUGUGAGGUAUGCUGGAGGUAUCAGAAGUGCGAAUGCUGACAUAAGUAACGAUAAAGCGGGUGAAAAGCCCGCUCGCCGGAAGACCAAGGGUUCCUGUCCAACGUUAAUCGGGGCAGGGUGAGUCGACCCCUAAGGCGAGGCCGAAAGGCGUAGUCGAUGGGAAACAGGUUAAUAUUCCUGUACUUGGUGUUACUGCGAAGGGGGGACGGAGAAGGCUAUGUUGGCCGGG